ACUCAAAUGAAUUGACGGGGACCCGCACAAGCGGAGGAUGAUGUGGUUUAAUUUGACGAUACGCGAAGAACCUCACCAAGGCUUGACAUCCCGCGAAUCUCCUAGAAAUAGGAGAGUGCCGGCAGCGAGUGCAGGAUUGCAAAAUCGUGCAUUGGCUGCCGGAACGCGGUGACAGGUGCUGCAUGGCCGUCGUCAGCUCGUGUCGUGAGAUGUUGGGUUAAGUCCCGCAACGAGCGCAACCCUUGUCGUAUGUUGUAUUUUUCAUACGAGACUGCCCGGGCCAACCGGGAGGAAGGUGGGGUCGAAGUCAGGUCUGCAUGGCCCUUACGCCUUGGGCUACACACGUCAUACAAUGGCCGGUACAACGCGUUGCCAAGCCGCAAGGCGGAGCUAAUCGCAUCAAAACCGGUCUCAGUUCGGAUUGGAGGCUGCAACUCGCCUCCAUGAAGUCGGAUUCGCUAGUAAACGUGGGUCAGCACACCACGUUGAAUACGUUCCCGGGUCUUGUACACACCGCCCGU
rnacentral:rRNA from 1 species